UUACGGUCAAAUCACGCUGAAACACCAGUUCUCGUCCCUACGAUCACCGGUUAAGCAGCGUAGAGCCAGGUCAGUACUUAGAUGGGGGACCGCUUGGGAACACCUGGUACUGUAAG
rnacentral:rRNA from 1 species